CAUCUGUCCUGCUGCUCACAGUCUGCUGCUGCUCACAUUCUUCACAUUUAUAGUCCACUUUUAAAAGUUCAGCAGAUAGGUGCUCUGCUUUGGAGUGUGACGAUGUCGUCGGUGAUGUGGAGAGUGAAGUUUCCGUUUCACCCACAGCGUGCUUUAGGGCAGCCGGGUCAGACUUGAUGUUUGAAAUACUGACCGACAGCUCAGAUUUAACUGUCUGUAGUUCUGUUUUGAUGGGUGUUAAACUUUCACUCAAAGCCACCAGGAGCUGGGUCUUUAAAAUAACCACCGUCUCGUUACAGAGUGAAAGUAGCAAUUCCUCCUUAAAGUCAGAGAUUGCAGCAUCUGAGGGCCUCUUCAAAAGAAGAUGUAGUUGAUGAAGGCGUUCUGGAGCAGGACCAGAAAGACCAUAAACCAAGCAGCCUUGAGAUCUUAGGCAGUGUCUCCCUCAGGUCUCUCUCUAUCUCCCCACACAUCCACCAACCACUGGAACACAUCUCCAAAGUUCUGCCAGGCCAGCUCAGCUUCCCCUCAGAAGAAGUGCCGCCACCUGCCAGAUGAAGGAGCCUUUUGAGAGGCAGCUGGCAUCGUGAUUGGACUGUACUUUGGUCUGUUCCAAUCCAGCUUCAGCUCCAGAGACGGCAGGCGGGACGAGUCAACGGAGGCCGGGUGGACGAAGGCAUGCAGCUGAGUACAAUCCAGAAAACAACAGAGGAGGAGUGCAGCGGUCCAGGGCCAGAACAAACAGAACCAAAGAACUACAGACUCUUCACAACCUGCUCAAACUCUUGGUACAGGACCUCACCACACAGGUCAAGAAGGUUUCCAUCUCAUUUCUACUCUGAAGCUCACCUUCUCCUGCUCAAACUGCUGACAAAUGUUUCUGCUGCUCUAAAG
ensembl:lncRNA